AUACAAGAUGGCAAGUAUUUCUCUUUCAGCCAUUCAUUCUGAUAUUCGUGGUGAGUGACAUACAUACCAUAUGCAGGAAACGUUGCAGGGAAAAGAACCCAAAGUCAUGUGAAUAUGGAUAUGUUUGCAAAGAAGAUAAAGCCAAAGUAAAGAGAUGCUAUAAUAAAGAUUACCAAUGUAGCAAUGGUUCCCAGGCGAAGGAAUGCGACUGCAAUUAUGAGUGUAGUGACAGUAUGGACGAAGUGUUCUGCCCAUGCACAGAAUAUAGUCAGGAAUUUGUAAGAAUUCCAGGAUAUUACAUCGACCAAGAUUACGAGGUCGACCAAGAAGAUGAUCACACAGAGCAAACCUGCAUGGACUUCUGCUUACAAGAACCAGACUGUGUAAGCUUUGAUUUCGAUAUAAGUGAUGACACAUGCUAUCUAAGCUCUAUAUCUCCAGCGCAAGAUAAAGACGCAUUAGUUACGUAUUCAAGCUUUACGGUUUUUGUGAGAAAAUGCAAAAACUGUGUGAAAUAGAAAUACCAAACAUCUUUGAUUGAAUUUUAGCCAAAUAAUGUCCUUUUGUCUAUCACUUUAAUAUAUUCGAUUGACUUAUAUUUGUUGGAACGAUCAACGAUUUCCAUCGCGAUCAGAAAAGUUAUGAUAUAUCACAAGUAAAGAUUUAAUUCAGAAGAAAAUCACUGUUUGAGAUUCAGAUGAAUUACACUUAUCAUAAGUAACCGAAGUACAAUAUGAGCACUCUACGGUUGGUAAAAAAGACAUAACUUCAUAAUGUAAACUAUGUUGAAUUCAAUCGCAUUUCAAUUAGUUUGGUCUAAACGAGCCAUUUUUAUAAUAAAUUACCUAUGUACGACAAUGAAAAUAUGUGUAAUCCUUUGCACAUCCACGCCUACCUUGCUCAGAACAAGAAACUUUGACUAAUGCGUAUUUCAAAGAAACUUUGACUAAUGCGUAUUAUAAAGAAACUUUGAUAAAUGCGUAUUAUAACUGAAAAUAAGCUAGUUUAUAUUAAUUUAUUUAUUCUCGAUUGCCAAACAAGUUCUUACAACUUAUAUUAAUGGCUCUCGAGACUCAUUCCAGAAGGAACCAACCUCUAAGAGCAGAGAGAGAGGCAAUGUGGAAUUAAAGUGUCUUGCCUAAGGACACUACCACCAAGGCAGUGGUCGGGAUCGAACCCGGGACCCUUCGAUCUCAAGGCGGACGCGCUACCACUGCGCUACGGCGGCUCCACAAAUAAGCGACAGUGAAUCAUUGUUCAGUCAUCAGUCACAUUGACUUUCAUCUGGAAAAAAUAAAAAAUAUUAUAUUAUCUAUCAAUUUAAAGCUUACGCUUUUAUGGAUUUUUCAAAACCUGACCUGACAGAAAUUAUAACGUGCCACUAUUAGCUUCCCGGAAAAUUUCAUUUUAAAGUCGAAUAUAAUGAAAAGUUUAAUGAAGUGCAGUUGAAGUAGCUAUUUCAUUUCCGGACACGGAUGUUAAAAUUUCAGAAAGUAAGGAUUACAAUAUUAAGAAUUACAGAUUAAGAAUAGCAUUUCGUUUUAACGAAAUAACUAAAAAAAAAAAUGUCAGGCAUCUGAAUCCCCAAUAAACUGUAUCCUGUCUGUUCCGGUCUGAUAAGGGUUCAUAAAUUAGAAAAGAAUUGUUUCCCUCGUAUUGUUCCUGACGGACCACUGCGGGGCGAUAUUUCGCGCUCUGUUGAGCACGAUUUUCUCACUUCAGCGCUUGGUCACUCGACUGUUAGCAUGCCCAUAGAAAAUUUUUAAUAUUAAGUUUUAAUACUUUAAAUGUGCGUGUUCCAUUUUGUAUAUAAAUAUUAUACACUGAACGGAUUUCGAGGCGCGAUAGUUAUAUGUCGAUUAGCUAUAUAGAAAAUCACUGGGAUUUUUAAAAUCGGUUCAGUGUAUACGAGAAGUGAAUGUAAUUUCAUGGUAUUAUUUUCGUUGGGUACAUAAAAUAACCUGUUGAUUAUA